UACAGAGGUGGCAAGCGUUGUUCGGAAUUACUGGGCGUAAAGGGCGCGUAGGCGGCCUACUAAGUCAGACGUGAAAUCCCCAGGCUUAACUUGGGAACUGCGUCUGAUACUGGGAGGCUUGAGUGCGGGAGAGGGAUGUGGAAUUCCAGGUGUAGCGGUGAAAUGCGCAGAUAUCAGGAGGAACACCGAUGGCGAAGGCAGGUCUCUGGGCAUUAACUGACGCUGAGGAGCGAAAGCAAGGGGAGCGAACAGG
rnacentral:rRNA from 1 species